CUCAACGAGAACAGAAAU
rnacentral:snRNA from 1 species